rnacentral:rRNA from 1 species
GACGAACGCUGGCGGCGGGCUUAACACAUGCAAGUCGAACGGAAAGGCCCUGCUUGUGCCGGGUGCUCGAGUGGCGAACGGGUGUGUUACCUGGGAGUAUCCUGCCCUUGACUUUGGGAUAACUUCAGGAAACUGGGGCUAAUACCGGAUAGGUGCUCCUGCUGCAUGGUGGGGUUUGGAAAGCUUGGGCGGUUGGGGAUGGACUCGGGGCUUAUCAGCUUGUUGGUGGGGUAGUGGCCUACCAAGGCUUUGACUGGUAGCCGGCCUGAGAGGUUGACCGGCCACAUUGGGACUGAGAUAGGGCCCAGACGCGUACGGGGGGCAGCAGUGGGGAAUCUUGCACAAUGGGCGGAAGCCUGAUACAACAACGUCGCGUGUGGGAUGAAGGCCAUGUGGUUGUAAACGGCUUUAGCCUGUUACGAAGCGUGAGUGACGUUAAUGGGUAAAGAAGCACCGGCUAACUACGUG